rnacentral:rRNA from 1 species
CUAAGAAUAUUCCGCAAUGGACGAAAGUCUGACGGAGCGACGCCGCGUGGAUGACGAAGGCCGAAAGGUUGUAAAGUCCUUUUGUCGAUGAAGAAUAAGUGUGGGAGGGAAUGCCCGCAUGAUGACGUUAGUCGGCGAAUAAGCCCCGGCUAAUUACGUGCCAGCAGCCGCGGUAACACGUAAGGGGCAAGCGUUGUUCGGAAUUAUUGGGCGUAAGGGGUACGUAGGCGGUUUUGUAAGCCCGGCGUGAAAUCCUGCAGCUUAACUGCAGAGCUGCGCUGGGAACUGCGAAACUUG